GAGCAAGCCAGUAAGCAGCACCUCUCCAAGGUGUCUACUUCAAGUCUGUAUUUCUAGGUUCCUGCCCUGAGCUCCUUCCCUGGCUUCACUAUACCAUGGACUCUGACUGAUGUAAUAUGACCAACUGCCGCCGUGCCACACCUGCCAGGAUGGACUAUAUCUAACUGUCUGUGACAGACAGCAAGUAAAUCUGUGAGACAGACUGAGGAAGUAUGUGCUUAAAAGUGACUUCUCGUGAGAUUCACCUCAGCUCUCGAAGCAUCCAGCUGCAUGCCUUACCCAAUAUCUGCAAAGUACUCAGAGGAAACAGUGGGUGACAAAAGCAACGACCUUGACAUUUAAGUCAGCCUUUGUGCCUCGGCCUCCAGGAAGGCAGAGCCUAGAGAUUACCGUUAUUCCUAGUCUCCAUUAUGGGUAGGAUCCUCUUGAGAGUUCACUGGGAAGUGCCACCAGAGUAAGGGAUAGAAGAUGGAAAGGAGAAGUAGCUGCUCUUCACAGAAGCUCCUGGAACAACGGGUGAGCACAGCAGAAGCCUUUGGAUGUUUUCCUACAGUCUUGAGGGCCCCGUAACCAUCACCAGUCUCAAUGCUGUUAGGAACUGGAUUUUUUUUUUUUUUUUUGGUUGUAACAAGAGUUCUAUCCUUUAAAUGUUUUAAAAAUUGGCCUUCGUAACUUAAAAAAAAUCCUUUCAUUGUAUUAAGUCUUCCAUUACUCCUUAUACUUCUAGUUACUUACAUUUUUCUGACCAGCCCUGACUGAUAUCCAUGGGCGGUGGAAGGAGAGCAAAUAGUUCUGAGAUCACAAUGAUACAGUUGCAUGUGGUAUAAAGGGCUGGAGAAUAAUUUCUACCCAGUGCUGCUGUCACUGCAGCCUGGUGACAUCGCCCUUCAGUCUGGUGUGUUAAGAAACAAGUUACGCUUGGUAUUUCCCCUUCCCAUCAGGAAAAAAAACUUACCAAACCCUCUUUCUUUUUUGAAGACUAAACCUAUCCAGUUUAA